UACGGGAGGCAGCAGUGGGGAAUAUUGCACAAUGGGGGAAACCCUGAUGCAGCGACGACGCGUGAGUGAUGAAGUAUCUCGGUAUGUAAAGCUCUAUCAGCAGGGAAGAUAAUGACGGUACCUGACUAAGAAGCACCGGCUAAAUACGUGCCAGCAGCCGCGGUAAU
rnacentral:rRNA from 1 species